GGAGGAGUCGCAUAAUGGUAUUGCAGGAGAUUGCUAAUCUCUAACGGUGUAAAAGCCGUUUGCGGGUUCGAAUCCCGCCUCCUCCG
rnacentral:tRNA from 1 species